GCCAGAGUGGCGGAACAGGCAGACGCGUCGGCCUCAAAAGCCGAUGGGCCGCAAGGCCCAUGUGGGUUCGAAUCCCACCUCUGGCA
rnacentral:tRNA from 1 species